CGAAGCCACCGCGGGGAGGACCUGCGCUCGCGGGGGCUGCUGCGCUCUGCGCUGGGGCCUCUCGGGCUGGGAAUGCGUGGCCCGGCUUUUGAGGAUUUCCUCGGUCCCCGGGCGGAAAUAGCUGGAAUGGAGGGGCCUCUCGAUUGGAGACUUACUGGUCAAAUAUUUACUUUUGUUGAUCACUGGAAACGCUACCUACCACGCAUUGACUAGGACCACAAAAACCACGACUUCCUGGAAAAGUCUUCACCGUAAAUAUUAAUCUCUUUGGCAUGAAGAGGAAAACACUGCAGCUAAUUUUUCAUGGGAUAACAAAAAUAUAAACUGCAAUUUCUUUUAUUUUUUCCCUUUCGAUGGUCUUUUUAAACGAGGAGUAAAGAUUUCAACGCCAGGUCCAUUUUCCAAAUUUUGUACCAGAACCUUGAGGAUGCUUGUCUCUCGCGCGCUUCUCCGCAGACCGAACCCUCUCCGGAACUCAGAGCUGUUCACCCAAGUCAGCGGAGGAGGCCUCCUGGGACUUGAGCCUGAGGGUGGCGAAGAACCCUAGGCAGAGAUCAUCAACUUGGUACCGAUGAGUGACGCGGAGCUUGAACAUUCCAGCGACUUGCUCCAGGGCCACUCCCAGUUAAGAGGCUGAGUGUUAACUGCAAGAGGCUGAGUGUUAACUACGCCGUUGGCUCCAGGAACCGAACCGGGUUUGGAUACAGACCCAGUCACACCAUCCAUGAAAAGCUGUUUCUAUAAUAUGAAAAAUUGUUAAAUGACGCUUUAGUAAAAGCCAUUUAAAGAUCUUUUCUAAUAAAUUUUUCAUCUUUCCAAACAA
rnacentral:lncRNA from 10 species